AACGAACGCUGGCGGCAGGCCUAACACAUGCAAGUCGAGCGAGAUCUUCGGGUCUAGCGGCGGACGGGUGAGUAACGCGUGGGAAUAUGCCCUUCUCUGCGGAAUAGCCUCGGGAAACUGAGCGUAAUACCGCAUACGCCCUUUGGGGGAAAGAUUUAUCGGAGAAGGAUUAGCCCGCGUUGGAUUAGGUAGUUGGUGGGGUAAUGGCCUACCAAGCCGACGAUCCAUAGCUGGUUUGAGAGGAUGAUCAGCCACACUGGGACUGAGACACGGCCCAGACUCCUACGGGAGGCAGCAGUGAGGAAUAUUGGUCAAUGGGAGCAAUCCUGAACUAGCAAUGCCGCGUGUGGGAUGAAGGCGCUUCGCGUCGUAAACCACUGUCGGACGGGACGAAAGGAGCUAUGAAGCUCUAGGACGGUACCGUCAAAGGAAGGAUCGGCUAACUACGUGCCAG
rnacentral:rRNA from 1 species